rnacentral:rRNA from 1 species
UACGAAGGGGGCUAGCGUUGUUCGGAAUUACUGGGCGUAAAGCGCGCGCAGGCGGUCUUCCAAGUCAGUGGUGAAAGCCCGGAGCUCAACCCCGGAACUGCCCUCGAAACUAGGUAGCUAGAAUCUUGGAGAGGUCAGUGGAAUUCCGAGUGUAGAGGUGAAAUUCGUAGAUAUUCGGAAGAACACCAGUGGCGAAGGCGACUGACUGGACAAGUAUUGACGCUGAGGUGCGAAAGCGUGGGGAGCAAACAGG